GGGGGCGACCUGGCUUCGACGUGGGUUGCGAAUCAGAACAGGGCAUACCGAGGGCCAGUCACCUCGUAAAUCCAUCUGGAAACUUUACAAACGCCAACGACGAUCAUUUCGCACUGGCCGCUUAAUGCGGCUGGCGCUGCGCCGGCACUCUGAUGGGCCGGACCAGGAAACUGGAUGCAGUGUCAUUUACAUCAGAUAAGGAUUGGUAGUGCCGUGACGCCAAUCUCGAAAAUCAAGCGGAUCGCCCGAAACGAGCCUGUUUGGCCGGCGCGUAAAGGCUAAAUUCAAUUGACCAAACUACGUAUGUAGAACUGUCUGUGUAGGGCUUGCGGACGGGGGUUCGAUCCCCCCCGCCUCCACCA
rnacentral:tmRNA from 1 species